rnacentral:rRNA from 1 species
UACGUAGGGGGCUAGCGUUACCCGGAAUUACUGGGCGUAAAGGGUGCGUAGGUGGUUUCUUAAGUCAGAGGUGAAAGGCUACGGCUCAACCGUAGUAAGCCUUUGAAACUGGGAAACUUGAGUGCAGGAGAGGAGAGUGGAAUUCCUAGUGUAGCGGUGAAAUGCGUAGAUAUUAGGAGGAACACCAGUUGCGAAGGCGGCUCUCUGGACUGUAACUGACACUGAGGCACGAAAGCGUGGGGAGCAAACAGG